UACGUAGGGUGCGAGCGUUGUCCGGAAUUAUUGGGCGUAAAGGGCUCGUAGGCGGUUUGUCACGUCGGGAGUGAAAACUCAGGGCUCAACCCUGAGCCUGCUUCCGAUACGGGCAGACUAGAGGUAUGCAGGGGAGAACGGAAUUCCUGGUGUAGCGGUGAAAUGCGCAGAUAUCAGGAGGAACACCGGUGGCGAAGGCGGUUCUCCGGGCAUUACCUGACGCUGAGGAGCGAAAGUGUGGGGAGCGAACAGG
rnacentral:rRNA from 1 species